rnacentral:tRNA from 1 species
GUACCCGUAGCUCAAUGGAUAGAGCGUUGGUUUCCGGUACCAAAGGUUGUAGGUUCGACCCCUAUCGGGUACGCCA